rnacentral:rRNA from 1 species
UACGUAGGGGGCAAGCGUUAUCCGGAAUUACUGGGUGUAAAGGGAGCGUAGACGGUAAUGUAAGUCUGGAGUGAAAGGCGGGGGCCCAACCCCCGGACUGCUCUGGAAACUAUGUUACUAGAGUGCAGGAGAGGUAAGCGGAAUUCCUAGUGUAGCGGUGAAAUGCGUAGAUAUUAGGAGGAACACCAGUGGCGAAGGCGGCUUACUGGACUGUAACUGACGUUGAGGCACGAAAGCGUGGGGAGCAAACAGG